CUUUACUGUAGCUUUGCAUUGGACUUUGACGGGACUUGUGUAGGAUAGGUGGGAGGCUGUGAGACGGGGUCGCUAGAUCUCGUGGAGCCAACCUUGAAAUACCACCCUGGUGUCGUUGAGGUUCUAACCUUGGUCCGUGAAUCCGGAUCGGGGACCGUGCAUGGUGGGCAGUUUGACUGGGGCGGUCUCCUCCUAAAGGGUAACGGAGGAGUACGAAGGUCUUCUAGGUACGGUCGGACAUCGUACUGAUAGUGCAAUGGCAAAAGAAGGCUUGACUGCGAGACCCACAAGUCGAGCAGGUGCGAAAGCAGGUCAUAGUGAUCCGGUGGUUCUGUAUGGAAGGGCCAUCGCUCAACGGAUAAAAGGUA
rnacentral:rRNA from 1 species